AUAACGACUCUCGGCAACGGAUAUCUCGGCUCUCGCAUCGAUGAAGAACGUAGCGAAAUGCGAUACUUGGUGUGAAUUGCAGAAUCCCGUGAACCAUGAGUCUUUGAACGCAAGUUGCGCCCGAAGCCAUUUGGCCGAGGGCACGUCUGCCUGGGCGUCACGC
rnacentral:rRNA from 1 species